GCGCGAGGGGGCGGGAGAGCGGGGCUUUCAGUCUGGAGCAAGUUUACCCUAACGGCUACAUUUGUUUAUCCAUCACCUCAACCAGCUGAUCCCCCAAGGCUUCAGUGCUAACGGAGUCACAGGCUCUAUCCGUCUAGAAAUUCCGAGCAUCAGAGACUGGACAGAAAGUAACUUAAUCUUAAAAGGAGACACAGAAAGAAAAGUCAUAACUUUACAUAAUAAUUCGGCCUUGAAAAAUAUAUAACAGCAGAUCAAGCCAGACCUUUCCACUACUCUGGGCAACGAAAGGUAAUGAUUAUCCCUAACAUUUAUCCCUCAUAUGCCCCGUGAAUUUACAAGUACCUUUACUUCAAGUAUCUCUUAGUUCUCACCUCCUGGAACUGAGACUUUCAUUAUUUUUAUUUCUCACAACAUGAUAGAGUUCAUCUGGGUCCUAAAGUCACCAUGCUCCAAACUAAAAUUAUUAGAUCCACUCCUACUCUCUUCCUCCUAACACACACAAGCACUGAAACAACCUCCUUUCUUUUCUUUCUAUCCACCCCAAUCUGCAAAGCCACAACUCUGGAAUCAUCCAAGACUCUUCUGCUUUCUCUUCCCCCACUAUUCACUCUCCACAUCCCUUGGUCCUAAUAUCCUAAAUAUCUCUUAAAUCUUUUGUUUUCAUUCCUCUUUAUCUGGUUCUGCUUC